AACAUCGCGCACCUGCGGGAACCUGCGGAGGGAUCAUUACCGAGUUUACAACUCCCAAACCCCUGUGAACAUACCUAUACGUUGCCUCGGCGGAUCAGCCCGCGCCCUGUAAAAAGGGACGGCCCGCCCGAGGACCCUAAACUCUGUUUUUAGUGGAACUUCUGAGUAAAACAAACAAAUAAAUCAAAACUUUUAGCAACGGAUCU
rnacentral:misc_RNA from 1 species